rnacentral:tRNA from 1 species
GCACAAGUAGCCUAGCUUGGUAAGACGCCAGCUUGGAGAGCUGGUGCAUGUAAAUGCUCACCGGUUCGAAUCCGGUCUUGUGCGCCA